rnacentral:snRNA from 1 species
AUCUGUACCCCCAUAAUAUGCCGAAAUAAAAAAAAAAUGGAACAAUACAGAGAUUAGCAUGGCCCCUGCGCAAGAAUGACAUGAUUAAAAUAAUUUUUU